rnacentral:rRNA from 1 species
UACGUAGGGGGCAAGCGUUGUCCGGAAUCAUUGGGCGUAAAGAGCGUGUAGGCGGCCCGGUAAGUCCGCCGUGAAAGUCCAGGGCUCAACCCUGGAAUGCCGGUGGAAACUGCCGGGCUGGAGUCCGGAAGAGGCGAGUGGAAUUCCAGGUGUAGCGGUGAAAUGCGUAGAUAUCUGGAGGAACACCGGUGGCGAAGGCGGCAUCCUGGACCAACACUGACGCUGAGGAGCGAAAGCCAGGGGAGCAAACGGG